CCUACGGGUGGCAGCAGUGAGGAAUAUUGGUCAAUGGACGAGAGUCUGAACCAGCCAAGUAGCGUGAAGGAUGACUGCCCUAUGGGUUGUAAACUUCUUUUAUAUGGGAAUAAAAUGUUCCACGUGUGGGAUUUUGUAUGUACCCUAUGAAUAAGGAUCGGCUAACUCCGUGCCAGCAGCCGCGGUAAUACGGAGGAUCCGAGCGUUAUCCGGAUUUAUUGGGUUUAAAGGGAGCGUAGGUGGAUCGUUAAGUCAGUUGUGAAAGUUUGCGGCUCAACCGUAAAAUUGCAGUUGAAACUGGCAGUCUUGAGUACAGUAGAGGUGGGCGGAAUUCGUGGUGUAGCGGUGAAAUGCUUAGAUAUCACGAAGAACUCCGAUUGCGAAGGCAGUUCACUGGACUGAAACUGACACUGAGGCUCGAAAGUGUGGGUAUCAAACAGGAUUAGAUACCCUAGUAGUC
rnacentral:rRNA from 1 species